rnacentral:lncRNA from 1 species
UUUUUCUGUAGUGAACCACAAUGGAAUUCAGGCUGUGCUGAGUUCAGGAACUGAAGAAAGAAACUGGGAAUUCAGGAGAGACUUCAGUUUCUUAAUCUGUUUGCCCUGGUCCCAGGGAUGCAGUCUGGAAACCCAAACCAGUGUUUAAGAGGGCUUAAACUGUGAGAAGAUUGACACUGACAAAGGAGGAUGUGAGCUGAAGGCAUCUGAAAACACCUUCUCUAGGCCUCCAUUGACGCCCUCAAUGCAGUAUGCUAUUUCCAUCUUUUUUAUGCAUCUGAUUGUCAGUGUCAACAGCAUUCUCAUUCUCAAUCAAGAAGAGUCAGCUAUUUUAUCUGGCACUGUGGACUGAGGAAGAGCAAAGCCUGCCCAUUACCUGUUUCAAGCACCAACUAGCUCUCCCAGGAGGAAACACACUGAUAAACUCCCAAGUGUGAAGCAGUCCCAGAGCUGGGGAGAUGGCUUGGCAGCUAAAGUGCUUUCCACAAAAGCAAGAAGACAGAGUGGAGAUUUGGGCAGGACACAUAAUUGCUGUGAGCCCUGGGUUUGAUUGACAGGUCUGGAAAUAUCACCUACAUCAGAAGAUUGAAGGCCUAUUUCUUUUGAUUUUAUGAGAAGAAAGACCUGAUAUCUUGAAGUUAAAAAUAGAGUGUAGUUGUAAAAUAAGGUGGGCCAGAAGAUGGCGCUCUAGUAGCACAUUUUGUGUCUGUGUCUUUACUCUUCUGUAAGCAACUGAG